AACUAAAGCUUUCAGAUAAUUGAAAUGGUGAUAAAGUGAUAGAUAUUUUAAAUAUUAGUUAUUUCUUCCAUUACAUGCCCUAGAGACGAUGCAACUAUAAAUUUUUCUUUUUUCUUUUCUAAACAGCAUAACCAUAUAAAUAUAUUGGCGACUUCCUGACUAAUAAAUAGCUCCUGCUGUUGAAAACACCUAAAUGCAGAGAGUUUAUCACCCUCCACUCCAUUUCAAGCUUCUGAGGAAGGCUCUGAGCCUGAGACCUUAUUCAGUGACUUCUCACUGACCUUCCAUGUUUCAAAACCGAACAAUCUUCAAAUGGGUAGAAGCAGAGGGAAUACUUUCUAACUCACUGUCUGAGGCCAGUUUUACCCUACUACCAAAGCCACACAAAGACGUUAUAAGGAGAGACAACUACGGACCAAUAUUUCUCAUGAAUACAGAUUUAAAAUUUCUCAACAAAAUGUUAGUUAAUCUAAUCCAACAAUGUAUAAAAAAACAUACAUCAUGAUCAGGUGGGAUUUAUCCAAGAUACACAAGGCUGGGUCAACAUUUGAAACCAAUUAAUGUAAUCCAUCACAUCACAUCAACAGACUAAAGAAGAAAAAUCAUAUGAUCAAAUCAACAGAGGCAGAAAAAGCAUUUGACAAAAUCCAACAUCCAUUUAUAAUAAAAAGCUUUCUGUAAACUUGAAAUAGAGAAGGAUAUCCUCAACCUGAUAAAGAAUUAUCUACAAAAACCUACAGCCAACAUCCUACUUAACAAUGAGAAACAUAAAGCUUCCCCACUAAGAUCAGGUAUGAGACAAGGAUGGGAAAGAAAAAAAAACUGUAUUUAUAGAUGACAGUACUGGUAUGUAGAAAAUCUGAAGGAACUGACCCCUCCCCCCCAAAAAAACCUCUUGAAACUAAUAUGCAGCUAUAACAAGGUUGUAAGACACAAGAGUAAUAUAUAAAAAUCAUUUGCCAACAAUGAACAAAUGGAAUUUGAAAUAAAAAAAAAUACCAUUUACAUUAGCACCCCCUCAAAAUGAAAUACUUAGGUAUAAAACUAACAAAUUAUGUAUAAGAUCUAAAUGAGAACAACUACAAAUGUCUGAUAAGAAAACAAAAAACAAAUAAAUUAAUGGAGAGCUAUUCCAUGUUCAUGGAUAGGAAUGCUCACUAUGGUCAAGAUGGCAGGCUUUCUCAAAUUGAUCCAUAGACUCCAUGCAAUCCCAGUAAAAACUUUAGCAAGUUAUUUUGUGGAUAUUGAAAACUGAUUCUGAAGUGUAUAUGGAGAGGCAUAAGACCCAGAAUGGCCAGCACAAUAUUGAAGGAGAACAAAGUUGAGAGACCGGUGAGUCAAGACUCACCAUAAACCUGGAGUUGCCCAGUGUCGUAUCGGCAAAAGAAUAGAUGAGCAGAUCGAUGGAACAGAAUAGAGUUCCCAAUAGUACACCCCCAUUUAGUCCAUUGAGUUUUGACAAAAGAGCAAAGGCAAUGCAAUGCAGCAAGACAAACUUUUAACAAAUGGUGUCAGAACAACAUGAUGUUCACGUGCAAGAAAAAUGAACCUAGACACAGACUUACAUUCUUCACAAACAUUAACUCAGAAUGGAUCAUAGACCUGAAUGCAAACCAUAAACUAUAAAAUUCCCAGAAGAUAACAUGAGUCAGCCUAGAUAACCUCGGGUAUGGCGAUGCCUUUUGAGAUAAAAUACCAAAGACACAAUCCAUGAAAUAAAUAAUUGGUGAGCUGGACCUCAUUAAAAUUAAAAAUAUACGCUCUGUGAAAGACAACAUCAGAAGAACAAGGGGCGCCUGGGUGGCGCAGUCAGUUAAGCGUCCGGCUUCAGCCAGGUCACGAUC